CCCAACAUACCAGACAGGUGAUGAAAAUCCCUCUCUCGCCGCCGCCGAUGGCGGCCGCCUUGUCAAGUUGUCAUCAUGGAAGUCAGCCACUCAGCCUCCCACUCCACCACUCUUCCGCCACCCCACGGCCGUAUCCCCGCAACGGGCGGUGCUUUUCGCAUUCCUGCCAACGACUGCCUCCAUGGACCGCCUCCAUGGACCCCAUGGACGGGAUGGCGGCAAUACCGCGGCCAGCAAAAUGGACAGCGAAGCCUUGGCAAGUUGUGGCCACCAACCAAACGCCUGCUUGAACUGCAGAGCGUGCCACGAACCAAACAUGCUCAGUCAACUUGCUCCACUUGUUGCGAUGCUUUGUCCUUGGUGCAGUCAACUUGCUCCACUUGUUGCGAUGCUUUGUCCUUGAUUCAGACAACUUCAGACAAGUGGAAAUUAAACAGAACACUUGCCAUAAUUUAGUUUUGUUACUGAGCGCUAGUUUUGUAAUAUGCGACCUUGAAAGUGGAAAUACAGUUUUAAUAAUGAUGGUACUUGUAUAGUUAAACUA